UGGAAAUCCAACAGAACGAGCUCGUUCUCUAGCUGUUCGGUAUGGAAAUGGGAAGCCUGGCCAGGUUUUUCUAGUUCCCUAUAACUCAGGUUGUCAUUGGAUGUUGACGGUUGUGAACCCCGGUGAAGAAGUGGUGCACUUCAUGGAUCCAUUAAAGAGGCGACUCAUCACCGGUGAAUGGAAAACUAUUGUGGACGAUUCCAUCAGAAUAUACAAUGCACAGAAAAAUAGGAAAGGCAGAAAAAUAGUUCAAUGGAAAAAUUGUGCGG